CAAAAACAUCGCCUUUCGCAAACAUCAAAGUAUGAAAGGUCCUACCUGCCCGGUGACGACGAGUUAAACGGCCGCGGUAUUUUGACCGUGCUAAGGUAGCGCAAUCACUUGUCUUUUAAAUAAAGACCUGUAUGAAUGGUGGAACGAGGGCUUAACUGUCUCCCCUCUCAAGUCAAUGAAAUUGAUCUGCCCGUGCAGAAGCGGACAUACAAAUACAAGACGAGAAGACCCUUUGGAGCUUAAGACAUAAAGCCACCCACAUCCCCAAAACCUCCACCAAAGAAGUUAAAUAAAAUAGCGCUCUGGCUCACGUCUUUGGUUGGGGCGACCGCGGGGAAAAACAAAACCCCCACAUGGAUUGGGCCUACCCCUAAAACCAAGAGGUACACCUCCAAGUCACAGAACAUCUGACCAAAUAGAUCCGGCACCUAGCCGAUCAACGAACCAAGUUACCCUAGGGAUAACAGCGCAAUCCCCUCCAAGAGUCCAUAUCGACAAGGGGGUUUACGACCUCGAUGUUGGAUCAGGACAUCCUAAUGGUGCAGCCGCUAUUAAGGGUUCGUUUGUUCAACGAUUAAAGUCCUACGUGAUCUGAG
rnacentral:rRNA from 1 species